AUUGAACGCUGGCGGCAGGCCUAACACAUGCAAGUCGAGCGAGCGGCGGACGGGUGAGUAAUGUAUGGGGACUGCCCGAUAGAGGGGGAUAACUACUGGAAACGGUGGCUAAUACCGCAUACUAUCGGAUAACCCAUAUGGGAUUAGCUAGUAGGUGGGGUAAAGGCUCACCUAGGCGACGAUCUCUAGCUGGUCUGAGAGGAUGAUAAGCCACCCGGGGACUGAGACACGGCCCAGACUCCGACGGAGGAAGAAGGGGGGAAUAUUGCAAAAUGGGCGAAGGCCUGAUGAAGCCAGGCUGCGUGUAUGAAAAAGGCGUGAGGGUGGUAAAUUAUUUUCAGGGGGGAGGCUUUACCCGAAGAAGAAGCCCCGCCUAACUCCGUGCCAGCAGCCGCGGUAUUUC
rnacentral:rRNA from 1 species